ACCUCUCAAGCCAAUCGGCUUUGAUCAAGUGUAGUAUCUGUUCUUGCCAGUGUAAGAACUGGCAUUAUCCGCAAGGAUAAAUUCUUGAAUUUUUGGAUGUCAGAUUGAGGUAGUUGGGCUUGAGCGCUUGCGUUUCGG